AUAUAUAUAUAUAUAAUUAGUUAAUGAUGUUUUAGUGCAUAACUAGGUGGAUUAGCUGUUAGCAUAACUAGGUGGAUUAGCUCCUCAGUGCCCGAGCCAGAAGACGUUUUCAGAGAGGAUUGAAGCGGAAGCCCAUGGCCUUGAUCAAGAAGUUGCGCAAUGCAAAACGUGAAGCCCGCCCUAGUCAGGACUCACGUGAGGAACAUGAUCAUUGUUCCUGAGAUGAUAGGAAGUGUACAACGGAAAGACCUUUAACCCUGUUGAAAUCAAGCCUGAGAUGAUUGGCCAUAUUACCUCGCUGAGUUCUCUAUCUCGUACAAACCAGUCAAGCACGGUAGGCCUGGUAUUGGUGCCACCCACUCCUCACGAUUCAUUCCUCUCAACUAAACGUUGUGUGGUGGUGAUAGUCUGCCAGAGACUUAGUUUGCUUGUGCAUUGGCUAGGCUAGCUACUUGGGACUAUUUUGGAGUGGUGGAAAGGGAAAAUGUUGAGUUUCACAAGUUUUGUUAUUGUGAUACUCUGCUACAAAUUUAGUGAAAGACUACUUCAGCUUCAUGCUAAUUUUGAAUAUUGGAUUACUAUUUUGUUUCACCUUGUUUUAGUGUUACUUUUUACCAACUAA